GCUCUUCUAGUAUACUAAUUACAAUUGACUUCCAAUCUCUAAAAUCUGGAUCAAGCCCAGAGAAGAGCA
rnacentral:tRNA from 2 species